ensembl:snoRNA U3 Small nucleolar RNA U3
AAGACUGUAUUUUCAGGGAUCAUUUCUAUAGUUUGUUACUGAUGAAGUUUUUCUGAACAUCUAGAACCUCAGAAACCAUGAGGAGGGCGCAGUAUUCCCUCCUGAGUGUGAUGCCAGCUCGUGGUGUUGCUUCUGCAACUGCCAUUUGUCAUAGAUAAUUGUCCUUCUCUUCCUUUGGGAGAGCAAGAGGGAGAGGAUGGCGCUGAGUGGU